UACAGAGGGGGCAAGCGUUGUUCGGAAUCACUGGGCGUAAAGGGCGCGUAGGCGGCUUCUUAAGCGUGUGGUGAAAGCUCAGGGCUCAACUCUGAGUCGGCCAUGCGAACUGGGAGGCUUGAGCACUGUAGAGGCAGGUGGAAUUCCGGGUGUAGCGGUGGAAUGCGUAGAGAUCCGGAAGAACACCGGUGGCGAAGGCGGCCUGCUGGGCAGUAGCUGACGCUGAGGCGCGACAGCGUGGGGAGCAAACAGG
rnacentral:rRNA from 1 species